rnacentral:rRNA from 1 species
UAGGGAAUCUUCCACAAUGGGCGAAAGCCUGAUGGAGCAACGCCGCGUGUGUGAUGAAGGGUUUCGGCUCGUAAAACACUGUUGUAAGAGAAGAAUGACAUUGAGAGUAACUGUUCAAUGUGUGACGGUAUCUUACCAGCAAGGAACGGCUAAAUACGUGCCCG